rnacentral:rRNA from 1 species
AGCCCGCUCAGAAACUACAAAGGAAUUGACGGGGCCCGGCACAAGCGGUGGAGCAUGUGGUUUAAUUCGAUGAUACGCGAGGAACCUUACCUGGGCUCAAAUGUAUGUUGACGUAUUCUGAAAGGGAUACUUCUUCGGACAAUAUACAAGGUGCUGCAUGGUUGUCGUCAGCUCGUGCCGUGAGGUGUCGGGUUAAGUCCCAUAACGAGCGCAACCCCUAUCAUUAGUUGCCAUCAGGUCAAGCUGGGGACUCUAAUGAAACUGCCUACGCAAGUAGUGAGGAAGGUGGGGAUGACGUCAAAUCAGCACGGCCCUUACGUCCAGGGCUACACACGUGCUACAAUGGCCGGUACAAAGGGCAGCUACCUGGUGACAGGAUGCUAAUCUCAAAAGCCGGUCUCAGUUCGGAUUGCAGUCUGCAACUCGACUGCAUGAAGUUGGAAUCGCUAGUAAUCGUGGAUCAGCCAAGCCGCGGUGAAUACGUUCCCGGGCCUU